GACGAACGCUGGCGGCGUGCCUAAUACAUGCAAGUCGAGCGGAUCUCGAGGAGCUUGCUCCUUGAGAUUAGCGGCGGACGGGUGAGUAACACGUGGGCAACCUGCCUGUAAGACUGGGAUAACACCGGGAAACCGGUGCUAUUACCGGAUAAUUCUUUCCCUCACAUGAGGGGAAGCUGAAAGUCGGUUUCGGCUGACACUUACAGAUGGGCCCGCGGCGCAUUAGCUAGUUGGUGAGGUAACGGCUCACCAAGGCAACGAUGCGUAGCCGACCUGAGAGGGUGAUCGGCCACACUGGGACUGAGACACGGCCCAGACUCCUACGGGAGGCAGCAGUAGGGAAUCUUCCGCAAUGGACGAAAGUCUGACGGAGCAACGCCGCGUGAGUGAUGAAGGCCUUCGGGUCGUAAAACUCUGUUGUUAGGGAAGAACAAGUAUCGGAGUAACUGCCGGUACCUUGCCGGUACCUAACCAGAAAGCCACGGCUAACUACGUGCCAGCCGCCGCAGUAACAC
rnacentral:rRNA from 1 species